rnacentral:tRNA from 1 species
GUUGCUCUCUAUUAAAGCAUGGCCGGCCUGUCACGCCGGGGGUCGCGGGUUCGAGUCCCGUCCGCUCCGCCA